UACGUAGGGGGCAAGCGUUGUCCGGAAUUAUUGGGCGUAAAGGGCGCGUAGGCGGAUCUGUGUGUCUGGCGUGAAAUCUCCACCACUUAACGGGGAGAGGUCGCUGGAAACUGCAGAUCUGGAGUUUGUUAGAGGACCAUGGAAUUCCAGGUGUAGCGGUGGAAUGCGUAGAUAUCUGGAAGAACACCGGUGGCGAAGGCGGUGGUCUGGGACAAAACUGACGCUGAGGCGCGAAAGCCAGGGGAGCAAACGGG
rnacentral:rRNA from 1 species